AAAUUGAAGAGUUUGAUCAUGGCUCAGAUUGAACGCUGGCGGCAGGCCUAACACAUGCAAGUCGAACGGUAACAGGAAGCGCUUGCUGCUUCGCUGACGAGUGGCGGACGGGUGAGUAAUGUCUGGGAAACUGCCUGAUGGAGGGGGAUAACUACUGGAAACGGUAGCUAAUACCGCAUAACGUCGCAAGACCAAAGAGGGGGACCUUCGGGCCUCUUGCCAUCGGAUGUGCCCAGAUGGGAUUAGCUUGUUGGUGGGGUAACGGCUCACCAAGGCGACGAUCCCUAGCUGGUCUGAGAGGAUGACCAGCCACACUGGAACUGAGACACGGUCCAGACUCCUACGGGAGGCAGCAGUGGGGAAUAUUGCACAAUGGGCGCAAGCCUGAUGCAGCCAUGCCGCGUGUAUGAAGAAGGCCUUCGGGUUGUAAAGUACUUUCAGCG
rnacentral:rRNA from 1 species